UACAGAGGUCCCAAGCGUUGUUCGGAUUCAUAGGGCGUAAAGGGUGCGUAGGUGGCGCCAUAAGUGGGGUGUGAAAUCUCGGGGCUUAACUCCGAAACUGCAUUCCAUACUGUGGUGCUUGAGGACUGGAGAGGAGACUGGAAUUUACGGUGUAGCAGUGAAAUGCGUAGAUAUCGUAAGGAAGACCAGUGGCGAAGGCGAGUCUCUGGACAGUUACUGACGCUGAGGCACGAAGGCCAGGGGAGCAAACGGG
rnacentral:rRNA from 1 species